UGGUGUAGCGGUGAAAUGCUUAGAUAUCACGAAGAACUCCGAUUGCGAAGGCAGCCUGCUAAGCUGCAACUGACAUUGAGGCUCGAAAGUGUGGGUAUCAAACAGGAUUAGAUACCCUGGUAGUCCACACGGUAAACGAUGAAUACUCGCUGUUUGCGAUAUACGGCAAGCGGCCAAGCGAAAGCGUUAAGUAUUCCACCUGGGGAGUACGCCGGCAACGGUGAAACUCAAAGGAAUUGACGGGGGCCCGCACAAGCGGAGGAACAUGUGGUUUAAUUCGAUGAUACGCGAGGAACCUUACCCGGGCUUAAAUUGCACUCGAAUGAUCCGGAAACGGUUCAGCUAGCAAUAGCGAGUGUGAAGGUGCUGCAUGGUUGUCGUCAGCUCGUGCCGUGAGGUGUCGGCUUAAGUGCCAUAACGAGCGCAACCCUUGUUGUCAGUUACUAACAGGUGAUGCUGAGGACUCUGACAAGACUGCCAUCGUAAGAUGUGAGGAAGGUGGGGAUGACGUCAAAUCAGCACGGCCCUUACGUCCGGGGCUACACACGUGUUACAAUGGGGGGUACAGAGGGCCGCUACCACGCGAGUGGAUGCCAAUCCCUAAAACCCCUCUCAGUUCGGACUGGAGUCUGCAACCCGACUCCACGAAGCUGGAUUCGCUAGUAAUCGCGCAUCA
rnacentral:rRNA from 1 species